GACGAACGCUGGCGGCGUGCCUAAUACAUGCAAGUAGAACGCUGAAGAGAGGAGCUUGCUCUUCUUGGAUGAGUUGCGAACGGGUGAGUAACGCGUAGGUAACCUGCCUGGUAGCGGGGGAUAACUAUUGGAAACGAUAGCUAAUACCGCAUAAAAUUGAUUAUUGCAUGAUAAUUAAUUGAAAGAUGCAACUGCAUCACUACCAGAUGGACCUGCGUUGUAUUAGCUAGUUGGUGAGGUAACGGCUCACCAAGGCGACGAUACAUAGCCGACCUGAGAGGGUGAUCGGCCACACUGGGACUGAGACACGGCCCAGACUCCUACGGGAGGCAGCAGUAGGGAAUCUUCGGCAAUGGGGGGAACCCUGACCGAGCAACGCCGCGUGAGUGAAGAAGGUUUUCGGAUCGUAAAGCUCUGUUGUAAGAGAAGAACGGGUGUGAGAGUGGAAAGUUCAC
rnacentral:rRNA from 1 species